rnacentral:rRNA from 1 species
GAUGGACGCUGGCGGCGUGCCUAAUACAUGCAAGUCGAGCGAACAGACGAGGAGCUUGCUCCUCUGACGUUAGCGGCGGACGGGUGAGUAACACGUGGAUAACCUACCUAUAAGACUGGGAUAACUUCGGGAAACCGGAGCUAAUACCGGAUAACAUGUUGAACCGCAUGGUUCAACAGUGAAAGACGGUCUUGCUGUCACUUAUAGAUGGAUCCGCGCCGCAUUAGCUAGUUGGUAAGGUAACGGCUUACCAAGGCAACGAUGCGUAGCCGACCUGAGAGGGUGAUCGGCCGCACUGGAACUGAGACACGGUCCAGACUCCUACGGGAGGCAGCAGUAGGGAAUCUUCCGCAAUGGGCGAAAGCCUGACGGAGCAACGCCGCGUGAGUGAAGAAGGUCUUCGGAUCGUAAAACUCUGUUAUUAGGGAAGAACAAAUGUGUAAGUAACUAUGCACGUCUUGACGGUACCUAAUCAGAAAGCCACGGCUAACUACGUG